rnacentral:rRNA from 1 species
CGUGUAGGCGGCCAAGCAGGUCCGUUGUGAAAACUGGAGGCUUAACCUCCAGACGUCGACGGAAACCGCGUGGCUAGAGUCCGGAAGAGGAGAGUGGAAUUCCUGGUGUAGCGGUGAAAUGCGCAGAUAUCAGGAAGAACACCAAUGGCGAAGGCAGCUCUCUGGGACGGUACUGACGCUGAGACGCGAAAGCGUGGGAGCGAACA